CCUGGUGGCUCAGAUGGUACAGAAUCUGCCUGCAAUGCAGAAGACCCAGGUUUGAUCCCUGGGUCAGGA
rfam:TPA: Bos taurus chromosome 18, whole genome shotgun sequence.